UCAAAAAAUAACCCACUUUCAUACCAAAACACACUUAAACCAACAUAAAACUGUGUUUUUUCUGAGUUUUUCUUAGCGGAAGUUGGUUUUUGCUAAUAAAAGUGAGUUUUAUGUGCGCUAAACUGUGCUUAACUGAGUUUAAAGUUGGUUAUUUUAAGAAGAUGUGUGUUUAAGCGAGUUUUUUUCAGUAAGAAGUCGGUUUUUUGUGUGUCAAAAGUGAGCCUUUUUAUUUAUGAGUUGGUUUAUGUGUGUUUAAGUGUGUCUUUUUGUUUUAUAAGCGAGUCUUUUACAACAGAAGUUGGUCUUUUUUUAAACAGAAGUGGGUUUAAGCGAGUUUAACUUGGUCUUUUUGUAAAUAAGUUGAGAGCUGCAACGAGGCUUAAAGACUCACUUUAACACACUUUUCAACAAGUUGGUCUUUUGUUUAUUAAUAUAAGUCAUCAAUGAAACAAUAAUUCUUCAACUGGGUCUUUGUUUGAUGUUUAUAGCCAUAAAUAAAACAAGUCAAUUGUAAAGGGGCUUUUUUUACAGCUUGUUUGCCAUUGUCCCUAUUGUACAUUUGUGUGCUCCCCAUAAUUUUUAGGGAAUAUUGGAUGAAAAUGGCUCUUUCAGAACAUCACAGGUUCACAGAUGGACAACAAGUAUCACUGACAAAAACUAACAAUGGUCAAGCUUAGUUUUAUACAUGAAAAUGAAAGAGUUUGUGUUUCACUUUGAAUUUUUUCUUUAUGUUUGUUUUUAUUAUAAACAAUAUCUUAUGAUUGUUUUAUGUCUUAAUUUUUUAUUUUUUUUUAAACAAUCUCAUAUGAUUGUUUAUAUUUGUUUAAAACAGUAUUUACUUGUAAAAUCUGCAUAUUUAAAUAAUUAUGGUAUUGGAAACAUUAUUUUGGAAAUAAUCUAUUUAUUUUUGUACAUAAGUUAUGCAAGAUUUUGAUAUUUGCAUAUGAUACCAUCAUAUCCAUUUUCUUAAUUUGGAAUAAAAUAAUAAAAUGCCAAACAUUACCUGUGUUACAUAAACUGUCAACAAAAUAACAAGACAAUACCUUAAAACACCCUUAUUUCACACCACUAACAAUAAACAGAUAACAAUCUGUCAGGCAUUCAGAGCUAAACAGGGUACUGAUUAUCUAGGGGUAGAUAAGGCUACUGAUGGGGUCCUAGAGAUAAGGCUGUGUGGAAUAAGAUAUAAGGCUUUUGAUUGGCUAUUGCACUGAGGAAGUUAUCUUUUUGAAAACAACAACUUUUGAAAAACAAGCUGGUGUCAGCAACUGAAUAUUGAGCUAAAUUUAAUUCAGCAACAUUAAUAUAAAGAAGUGAAAGACUUAUAAUGGUAGUGUAAAAUGUCUUGAAAUUCUGUCAGCAUGAAGUAUUGUGUGAUGAAAACAAUGUGUUUUUUACUGCAAUGUGGAAAUCAAUAAUAAGUUGGUUGGAAAGGAGGUUGAACUGCCUGUUGUUGUUUUUGGAAUACUGAAGAACAGUUUUAACAGGUUAAACUCUUGCCACAAGGCAAAAUUGACAUCGUUGGGAAGAUCCUUUGGAAAGAAUGUGCAUCAUCGCCUGCCUGAUGUAUGGACUUUUAAACCUGGUUUUUACCCUGCACAAGCUGGCAAACUUGAGGGGAACAAGAGUGGGAAAACCUCGCCCUGUCCUUGACCAAGAAAGCUCGAUUUGUUGAGAGAUCAACUGGCAUAAGAGAUGCUCAAGAGGAGAAGGACACAAGCAGCAUCAAUGGAACAACUACAUGUCGCUCCAGCGCCCGCUUUCCAGGUCUCUACCAGCUGCUUUCCAGGUCCCUCCACCCGCCAAGAUCAGGUCUAGGUCCCUGCACUGGCUGCUUUCCAGGUCCCCUAGCGGUCAAGGUCUCUCCAGUAGCUGCUGUGCAGGUCCCAACACCGUAUGCCGUCAAGGUCCCUCCUUAAGCUGAAAUCCAGGUUCCUCAUUCCACUGCGGUUCAGGUACCUCCAACAGCUGAGAUCCAGGUCUCUGCAGCAGCUGCGGUCUAAAUACUCCACCCGCAGUGGUCCAUUGCGGUCAAACUUUUGCUUUAAAAUCUUCCAUAAAUGUCUAUUAUUUUAUAAUGUAUUGUAAAAAUAAUCUGUUAGUAUUAAUUUGCGGUGUACUAUUUUUGUCAUAUAAACAUAAUUUUCGUA